AGAGUUUGAUCAUGGCUCAGGAUGAACGCUGGCGGCGUGCCUAACACAUGCAAGUCGAGCGAUCUCUUCGGAGAGAGCGGCGGACGGGUGAGUAACGCGUGGGUAACCUGCCCUGUACACACGGAUAACAUACCGAAAGGUAUACUAAUACGGGAUAACAUAUAAAAGUCGCAUGGCUUUUGUAUCAAAGCUCCGGCGGUACAGGAUGGACCCGCGUCUGAUUAGCUAGUUGGUAAGGUAAUGGCUUACCAAGGCAACGAUCAGUAGCCGACCUGAGAGGGUGAUCGGCCACACUGGAACUGAGACACGGUCCAGACUCCUACGGGAGGCAGCAGUGGGGAAUAUUGCACAAUGGGCGAAAGCCUGAUGCAGCAACGCCGCGUGAGCGAUGAAGGCCUUCGGGUCGUAAAGCUCUGUCCUUAAGGAAGAUAAUGACGGUACUUGAGGAGGAAGCCCCGGCUAACUACGUGCCAGCAGCCGCGGUAAUC
rnacentral:rRNA from 1 species